CCCUUAGACGUUCUGGGCCGCACGCGCGCUACACUGACUGGUGCAACAAGUGUCGCUCCUUGGCCGAUAGGCCUGGGCAAUCUUUGAACGCCAGUCGUGAUGGGGAUAGAUUCUUGCAAUUUUUGAUCUUCAACGAGGAAUUCCUAGUAAACGCGAGUCAUCAACUCGCAUUGAUUACGUCCCUGCCCUUUGUACACACCGCCCGUCGCACCUACCGAUUGAAUGGUCCGGUGAACCCUCCGGAUCGGCCCGCGCCAACGCAAGUUGAGCAAAGGCCGAGAAGUUGGGUAAACCUUACCAUUUAGAGGAAGGUGAAGUCGUAACA
rnacentral:rRNA from 1 species